CGGGGGCAGCGGCGGCCCCGGGAGCCCGGCCCCGCUCCUCAGGCUGCGCUCCCCCGGCCUUGCUCCCCCGGCCCCGCUCCUCCAGCCCCGGGAGCCCGGCCUUGCUCCUCCGGCCCCGCAGUCCCGGUCCCCGGAGCCCGGCCCCGCUCCUUAGGCCCGCGGCCCCGCUCCUCCGGCCCCGCUGUCCCGGUCCCCGGAGCCCGGCCCCGCUCCUCAGGCUGCGCUCCCCCGGCCCUGGGAGCCCGGCCUUGCUCCUCCGGCCCCGCAGUCCCGGUCCCCGGAGCCCGGCCCCGCUCCUUAGGCCCCCGGCCCUGCUCCUCAGGCCCCGCUCCUCAGGCCCCGCUCCUCCGGUCCCAUUCCCCCGGCCCUGCUCCCCCGGCCCCGCUCCUCAGAUCGCGUUCCUCCGGCCCCGCUCCUCAGGUGCCGUUCCUCCGGCCCCGCUCCUCAGGCUGCGCUCCUCAGGCCCCGCUCCUCAAAUCCCGUUCCCCGACCCUGCUCCCCCGACCCCGCUCCUCAGGCCCCGCUCCUCAAAUCCCGUUCCCCGACCCCGCUCCCCCGGCCCCGCUCCUCAGGCCCCGCUCCUCAGGCCCCGCUCCUCAAAUCCCGUUCCCCGGCCCCGCUCCCCCGGCCCCGCUCCUCAGGCCCCGCUCCUCAGGUCCCGCUCCCCCGGCCCUGCUCCCCCGGCCCUGCUCCCCCGGCCCCGCUCCUCAGGCCCCGCUCCCCCGGCCCCGCUCCUCAGGCCCCGCUCCCCCGGCCCCGCUCCUCAAAUCCCGUUCCCCGGCCCCGCUCCCCCGGCCCCGCUCCCCCGGCCCCGCUCCCCCGGCCCCGCUCCCCCGACCCCGCUCCCCCGGCCCCGCUCCCCCGGCCCCGCUCCCCCGGCCCCGCUCCCCCGCCCCGCUCCCCCGGCCCCGCUCCCCCGGCCCUUCUCCCCCGGCCCCGCUCCUCAGGCCCCGCUCCCCCGGCUGUGCCGGGCCGGGAGAGCUCCUGCCGGCGAUGGGAUGCUCAGAGGGGGAUCAGAGCGGCUGGUGGGGAACGCUCAGGGAAUUCCGUGCAAAUCCAUCGCUCCGAGCCGCGGGUUUAUUGGGAAUGAGGAGCUGGAGCUCCUCAGGCCACGAGCAAACGCUGCCGUUCCCGGGUUUCCAUUUCCCUGGGUCACGGCGGAUGCCCCGCUCUGUUCCCUGCUCUCAGUUUUGUCUGGAUAAAUCCAUCGGGAUGCGAUCACUCACACAGGGAGGGAUUCGCAGCCCUCGGGGCUUUGCACUCGCUGGGGUUCGGAGUUUUGGGUCUGAAUCGGGAGGUGCAUCCUGCCACGGGCAGGGACAUUUUCCCAGGAUUAUCCCAGGUUGCUCCCAGCCCUGUCCAACCUGGCCUUGGACACUUCCAGGGAUGUGGCAGCCACAGCCAGGGCCUCCCCACCCUCACAGGGAAGAAAGUCUGAGGCUCCAAACCCCUCCUGGGGGGCUUGGUCCGGGCACGGAGGCUCCACCAUGCCUGGGAUGGGAGCUCUGUGUGUCACAGCCCGUCCCCGUUCCCUUGGAUGUGCACGCUGUGACACGGGAUGGGAGCAGGACCAUCCCUGGCAGCUGCCGUGUGUUCCACUGAGGAAUUCUGGCCUGGGAUUCUGCUCCUAACAAAGCUGAGGGGGCUCCCAGAAGCAGCAGAAGGGAGGUUUUGGUCCCUCUCGAGGAGCAGGGGACCCUCCCCACUCCAUCCCUGCUCACCCCCCUGGGGUGGCACCUGGGAAAAUAUCCCUGAAAAGCGGAGGAGAUCACCGAGAUAACGGAGCCACUUAAUCUUACCAGGACCCUGCUUGUCACCCUGUGCUACGUGGCUCUAAGCAGGGCUGGCCACGGCCUGGCUGGUGUCCCCUGGUGUCCCCUGGUGUCCCCCCGGGCUCUCCGGGCUCCGGCUGCUGCUCCAUGAAUAAUGCACGUCCCACAGAGAGCCGCGGCUCCGGUGUCAGGAGUCCGAGUUAAAAAUUAACGGGGCUGAGACCGGAUCCCCCCCACAGGACAAUGGUGCGGCAGACGGGGCCGGGCUGGUGUCCCCUUACUGCCCGUGGCUCGUGUGGCUCGUGUCACCAGCAGCCAGGGAGGUGACAGGUGUGUGACGAGGCCGGUGAUGGUGUCCCCAAAACCUGGGGUGAGGGUCCCGCGUGUGCUGUGGUGAUGGGAGCUGCUGGUUCUGGCUUAAAAAUCCCAAAGUGAGCCAAACCCAGCCCAACCCAGUCCAGCUGAACCCACCUGAGUCCAGUCUAACCCAACCCAGCCCAGCUGAACCCAACUGAGUCCAGUCUAACCCAACCCAGCUGAACCCAACUGAGGUGAGUCCAGUCUAACCCAACCCAGCCCAGCUGAACCCAACUGAGUCCAGUCUAACCCAACCCAGCCAGCUGAACCCAACUGAGUCCAGUCUAACCCAACCCAGCCCAGCCCAGCUGAACCCAACUGAGGUGAGUCCACUCUAACCCAGCCCAGCCCAGCUGAACCCAACUGAGUCCAGUCUAACCCAACCCAGCCCAGCUGAACCCAACUGAGUCCAGUCUAACCCAACCCAGCCCAGCUGAACCCAACUGAGGUGAGUCCAGUCUAACCCAACCCAGCCCAGCUGAACCCAACUGAGUCCAGUCUAACCCAACCCAGCCCAGCCCAGCUGAACCCAACUGAGUCCAGUCUAACCCAACCCAGCCCAGCUGAACCCAACUGAGUCCAGUCUAACCCAACUCAGCCCAGCUGAACCCAACUGAGGUGAGUCCAGUCUAACCCAACCCAGCUCAGCUGAACCCAACUGAGUCCAGUCUAACCCAACCCAGCUCAGCUGAACCCAACUGAGUCCAGUCUAACCCAACCCAGCCCAGCUGAACCCAACUGAGGUGAGUCCAGUCUAACCCAACCCAGCCCAGCUGAACCCAACUGAGUCCAGUCUAACCCAACCCAGCCCAGCCCAGCUGAACCCAACUGAGGUAAGUCCAGUCUAACCCAACCCAGCCCAGCUGAACCCAACUGAGUCCAGUCUAACCCAACCCAGCCCAGCCCAGCUGAACCCAACUGAGAUUCUGUACCGCACUGGUGUGUAAACUCUGAACUCCACACAGAGUGUCAGCAGUUCUCCUCACAGCUCAGUCACACACAACAACCCUUCUCCAGCCCCAGAACCACGGACACCGCUGCAGCUUCAGCCCCAAAAAGCGCAAACAGCGAAUUAAGGAGAGCAACCUGGCAGGAUGGGACUGCACAACCUGGAGCUGCAGUUGGACGAUGAACCCCAAUACGGAAAUGGACCAAAACUUACAAAACUCAUGGCCUGGAACCCAGCUUGGGUGUAGCCACGGCCGGGCUCUUGUCCCGCCCAAGCUGUACCCGUGGAGGGAUUCAAUAAAUCCAUGUUUAUUCCUUUA